rnacentral:rRNA from 1 species
AAUGAACGCUGGCGGUAUGCCUAACACAUGCAAGUCGAACGAGACCUCCGGGACUAGUGGCGCAUGGGUGCGUCACGCGUGGGAACCUGGCCUUAGACUUGGAAUAACACUUCGACAGGGGUGCUAAUACAGGAUAACUUCUUCGGAUCACAGAUUCAUCGCCUUUGGAUGGGCAGGCGUUGGUCUGGCUAGUUGCUAUGGUAUAAGCCUACCACGGCGACGCUCCAUAGCUGGUCAGAGAGGAUGAUCGGCCACACUGAGGCUGUGACGCGGUCCAGACUCCUACGGGAGGCGGCGGUGGGGAAUAUUGGACUAUGGGCGAAAGCAUGAACCACUUAUGCCGCGUGAGUGAUGAAGUUCUUAGGGUUGUAAAGCUCUUUUACCCGGGAUUGUACUGACAGUACCGAGAGAAUAAGCUCCGGCUAACUCCGUG